UAAACAUUAAACAAAUAAAUUAAUUUAAUUUCGACCUAAAUAAAGAUAAAAACAAUUCUAUCAUUUGU
rnacentral:tRNA from 1 species